GUGGGUAAAAAAAACAGAGCAAAUAAUGUUCUUGAACCACGAAAAGUAAAGGCUGGUUACUACUGAGGCUAGCCUUCCAGUGCCCCUGGGUUAUUAUGUAAAGUAGACCACUCAACCUUGCUCUUGGUGGCACUCUGAAAAAUGUUAACCCUGCCCUGGUGCACCUGGGGACCCACACCCUACUGACCAAAACAGGCGUGGGAGGAGCAGGGUUUAAAGAGAUUAAUAGUAGAGAUGUUAGUCGCUCAGUCGUGUCCGACUCUUUUGCGACUCCACAGACUGUACCCUUCCAGGGUCCUCUAUCCAUGGGAUUCUCCAGGCAUGAAUACUGGAGUGGGUUGCCAAACCCAGAAGCAAAAAAUCAGAGAGAGGAGAGAAAAACAGGAGGAGAACACAAUAGAGUGGGUGGGAUGGUAGUCUUUGCAGCUCUGAGCCGGCCUAAGCCACGAGGAGAAUCUGACCCCAGAGCUAUCAGAAGUCACUGGGGGUUUUGUGUGCCUGUGAACAGAAAACACCACACACUGGAGGACCAUGAAGUGCUCCAGCCCUGCUGGCAUAGCCAGACCACCUCAGACAACACACGCCACAAAAUCCAAUUGCACCUCGGUCCCACCAAGGGGAAGUCCAGCUCUCCUGCCUCUCAGUGGAGAAGUGUAAUGUAUCCUCGGCCCUUGGAUCCAGUUUAUGAAACUUGGAAGAUUUGAAAGUCAAACAUAAGGAGCAGAGAAAUUGUUCCAAAAGUAAGGCUGGAGAUGGGGCAGCAAAGAGUACCUGAGUCAUGCCGGAGAAAGGAAAUGAAAGGGACAACAGGCAACACCGAACAAAGGCAGAAGAGACACCAGGAUGGUGAAGGUCAAAGGGCUGGAAGGUUAGAGGUGAUACUUCUGCAUGAAAGGACCGAGGAAGAACAGUGAACUUUCACAGAGUCGCUCAAAAUUGAGGUCUGUGGUUCUGACUUCAGAACUACCCCCAGACCUCAUCAUUACUCAGAGACUGCAAAAGAGGUCUGGGCUAGAUUCAGGUUGGAGACAAACAUCACACACACACACCCAUAUACAAACAGAAGCAGAAUAUAACACACUUCUAAGGUGUUGUGGAUGAUUUCUUUCUAGGAAGGGACUCUGGAAUUAAUUAGAAGCGUUGAGAGGUUUGUUCCCAGGCCAAGGAGAGGACUGUCCCCCAAAUUUUCAAACCAGAAAUGAACUUUAGGAUCCCAGCUUUUAAUAUAUUCUUUGGAUUGUUUUAAUACAUGGAUGUGUAAAAUGAAUUUAAUUUAAUCCAAAAGAAUAGAUUAGAUAGCCUGAUUUAUUCUACUUGAAAUAAAAAUACAUUUUACCAAUUAUCCACAUCUUUGUGAAGCAAAUACCUUCAAAAUCUUAGUUGAGCUUCUCAGAGUACAUAAACUUUCUUAGAGAUUAGCCACAUUUCCUGAUAAUAUCAGGGCGCCUAUAGAUUUUUUUUAAUGUAGAGGUUCUGAUAUUCUCAGUACCGUAAAUUCCAAAUUAUUUCAUUGUAUUCCUCUGAUAUAGUGUAGGGAAAUGUUAUAAUUAUCUCAAAAAAAAAAAUAGAAGUAAAUAUGAACAAAUGGAGUUCUGGAGUUAUUUCCAAGAGAACAUUAACUGCCUGAUGUUUAAGUGCUUUACAUUUCAUGAGUUUAUGAUUUAAAAUUUGAAGCACAUUUAAAGUAGCAAAAAGAGUUCAGUGUACUUUCACCUUAUCAACGGAGUUAUCGGGCUUCUGCUGCCUCUGUUCCACCUAUCCCUGAUUUUCCCUUUUUGGAAGUAUUUGGAAGCAAAAUCCAACUGUUGAGAACUCAGUUCAUACACCUUCUUUGGUGCAAAGUUUUGAAAAUAUGGGCAUUUUCUUUGCAUAGUCACAAUACCAUUAUUACACCCAAUAAUAGUGAAAUUUUCCCCUUUACCUCAUAACCAAACCACAAUCAAAUUUGCCAGUUAUCUCAAAAAAUGUAUAUUUUUACAGUUGGUUAGUUUAAAUAAGAUCCCCAAAUAUCCUUUAUUGCUUGUAAUUACCAUGUCCUGUAAGUCUUUUAUGGUCUAUGCAGUAAUUCCUCUCCAUUUUCCCCCUUCAAGCUACCAACUUGUUGAAAAAGCUAGACCAGUUAUUCUGUAGAGAUAUUUAUUUUUAAAGGGUAAUGUUUAAAGGUUAAAUAGUAAUGUGGGGGCGGGGAGGAGCACCAACAGGGAGAGGAUAUAUGUACACCUACAGCUGAUUCACUUCGACCUACAGUAAAAACUAAAACAACACUGUAAAGCAAUUAAACCCCAAUUUAAAAAAUAGUAAUAGAGUGUCACCUAAAAUACUUGGUGCCUCACUAAAUAAAUAACUGAAGCCCUGGGACUUCCCUAGCAGUCCCGUGGUUAGGACUUGGCACUUCCACUGGCAGGGCCUGGGUUCAAUCCCUGGUCAGGGAACUAAGAUCAUGCAAGCCAUGCAGCACAGCCAAAAAAAACAUAAAAAAUAGUGAUAAUUGAAGCCCUAACGGAUAUUAUUAUCUCACUUGAAAUUAACCCUUAGAG
ensembl:lncRNA